CCUACGGGUGGCAGCAGUGGGGAAUAUUGCGCAAUGGGCGAAAGCCUGACGCAGCGACGCCGCGUGUGUGAUGAAGGUCUUCGGAUCGUAAACCUCUGUCAGCAGGGAAGAACGGUCACUGUGCUAAUCAGCAGUCAAUUGACGUUACCUGCAAAGGAAGCACCGGCUAACUCCGUGCCAGCAGCCGCGGUAAUACGGAGGGUGCGAGCGUUAAUCGGAAUUACUGGGCGUAAAGCGCACGUAGGCGGUCUGUUAAGUCAAGUGUGAAAUCCCCGCGCUCAACGUGGGAACUGCAUUUGAAACUGGCAGACUGGAGUGUGUGAGAGGAUAGUGGAAUGCCAGGUGUAGGAGUGAAAUCCGUAGAGAUCUGGAGGAAUAUCAGUGGCGAAGGCGACUACCUGGCACAUGACUGACGCUGAGGAGCGAAAGCGUGGGGAGCAAACAGGAUGAGAUACCCUUGUAGUC
rnacentral:rRNA from 1 species